rnacentral:rRNA from 1 species
GAUGAACCCUGGCGGCGUGCCUAAUACAUGCAAGUCGAGCGAACAGACGAGGAGCUUGCUCCUCUGACGUUAGCGUCGGGCGGGUGAGUAACCCGUCGAUAACCUACCUAUAAGCCUGGGAUAACUUCGGGAAACCGGAGCUACUACCGGCUAAUAUAUUGAACCGCAUCGUUCCCUAGUGAAAGACGGUUUUGCUGUCACAUAUAGAUGGCUCCGCGCCGCAUUAGCUAGUUCGUAAGGUAACGGCUUACCAAGGCAACGAUGCUUAGCCGACCUGAGAGGGGGAGCGGCCGCGCUGGAACUGAUAGACGGUCCAGACUCCUACGGGAGGCAGAAGAAGGGAAUCUGACGCAAUAGGCGAAGGCCUGACGGAGCAACGGCGCGUGCGGGAGGAAGGGUUUCGGGCCGGGAAACUCUGUAAGGAGGGAAGGACGGGUGCGUAAGUAACUACGCGAGGCUCGACCGGACCUAACCAGAAAGCCACGCCUAACUACUUG